rnacentral:lncRNA from 1 species
CCCCUGCGGUCUCCCUCAGCCCUCUCGGUUGCAACCAAACACGAGCAGACCAGCCUUCGUUGUCCUUAAAAAACCACAACUGAUCUUCCCCCCAUUUCCUCUCAUUUUCAGCUAACAACGCAGAACCACUCCCCGGUUCCAAUUUUUCUAAGCACCAGACCCUCUCACCCACAUAAACCAGCCGCUGCUCAUCCCCUUCCUUCUCUCUUGAGGCCAGGAAUCAGAGAGCACCGGACACCCUCUCCUACAUCUGCCUCACUCUCCUUUCAGCCGGUUUUCACCGCCAGUAAGCCAGCAUCGCCGUCUCCAAUCCACAACCUCCCUCUCUCGGUUCUCCCAGAAACAGAGGUUGGCUGUUCCCUCCAUAGUCCCAGCCAUUUCCAGCCACACCCAGCUCACUGCCUCCAGCAGUCUUCGUCAUCUCCUUCGGCACCGUCUCCAGCUCCUCCACCAAACGCAGCGGCGGCCCCGCCGUCUUCUUCUCCCCUCAGAGCCGACCGCCGCCUAGGGAAACGAAAAGAACAGAUCUGUAAUGAGCAGAUCCGAAACGGGCAGAAGAAAAAAAAUUUAAAAACAGAUCUGAAACAAAAAAACUAAAAUCAACUGCUUUGUUUGCGUUUUUUUUGUGUGUUUGCAGGUGAUCGGACCCUCAUCGCCAGCUGAAAAUUGAAGAGGAGAAGAAGCCACUCCAGGCGCCUCUGUUUUUUCUGGUUUCCAGCAGCGGCGCGUGAACCCACGCGCCGCCAGUGACGGUGGUGCGUGGAUCCACGCGCCGGCACUGUUCAUGCAGUCCCCAGAUGUCCUCCCCUGCAAUUCCUAGAGUGUUGGGGGACUAUUUUGUAAAUUUUAAGUUAUUUAAUGUAA